AUUUUAGUAUAAGUAUGUCCUAUGCCAUAUUUGGGAUAUAUUUUUACUAAAA
rnacentral:pre_miRNA from 1 species